rnacentral:rRNA from 1 species
UAGGGAAUCUUCGGCAAUGGGGUGAACCCUGACCGAGCAACGCCGCGUGAGUGAAGAAGGUCUUCGGAUCGUAAAGCUCUGUUGUUAAGGAAGAACGAGUGUGAGAAUGGAAAGUUCAUACUGUGACGGUACUUAACCAGAAAGGGACGGCUAACUACGUUCCAGCAGCCGCGGUAAUACGUAGUUCCCGAGCGUUGUCCGGAUUUAUUGGGCGUAAAGCGAGCGCAGGCGGUUAGAUAAGUCUGAAGUUAAAGGCAGUGGCUCAACCAUUGUAGGCUUUGGAAACUGUUGAACUUGAGUGCAGAAGGGGAGAGUGGAAUUCCAUGUGUAGCGGUGAAAUGCGUAGAUAUAUGGAGGAACACCGGUGGCGAAAGCGGCUCUCUGGUCUGUAACUGACGCGGAGGCUCGAAAGCGUGGGGAGCGAACAGG